rnacentral:rRNA from 1 species
UACGGAGGGUGCAAGCGUUAAUCGGAAUUACUGGGCGUAAAGCGCACGUAGGUGGUUUGUUAAGCCAGCUGUGAAAUCCCCCGGGCUCAACCUGGGCACUGCAGUUGGAACUGGCAAGCUAGAGUAGGGUAGAGGGGUGUGGAAUUCCAGGUGUAGCGGUGAAAUGCGUAGAUAUCUGGAGGAACAUCAGUGGCGAAGGCGACACCCUGGACUCAUACUGACACUGAGGUGCGAAAGCGUGGGGAGCAAACAGG